GGUUUUGAUCCUGGCUCAGAUUGAACGCUGGCGGGAUGUACUACACAGCCAAAGUCGAACGGCAGCACGGACUUCGGUCUGGUGGCGAGAGUGGCGAACGGGUGAGUAAUGUAUCGGAACGUGCCGUGGCGGGAUAACUACGCGAAAGCGUAGCUAUUACCGCACCGCGCUUCGGGGAAAGCGGGGACGGGCCUCGCACUAUUAGAGCAGCCGAUAUCGGAUUAGCUAGUUGGUGGGAUAACGGCUCGCAGGGGCGACGAUCCGUAGCUGGUUUGAGAGGGCGUACAGCCACGCAGGACUGAGACACGGCCCAGACUCCUACAGGAGGCAGCGGUGGAGGGUACCUGGACAAUGGGAAACCCUGAUCCAGCCAUCCCGCGUGCGAUGAAGCCUUCGGGUUGUAAAGCACUUUUGGCAGGAAAGAAACGGCGGGAUAAUACCCCGAUGCAACUGACGGUACCUGCAGAAUAAGCACCAGCUAACUACGUGCCAGCAGCCGCGGUAAUACGUAGGGUGCAAAGCGUUAAUCGGAAUUACUGGGCGUAAAGCGUGCGCAGGCGGUUCGGAAAGAAAAGAUGUGAAAUCCCAGAGCUUAACUUUGGAACUGCAUUUUUAACUACCGAGCUAGAGUGUGUCGAAGUGGAAUUCCGCGUGUAGCAGUGAAGUAAACGAAUAUGGAGGAACACCGAUGGCGAAGGCAGCCUCCUGGGAUAACACUGACGCUCAUGCACGAAAGCGUGAGGCAAACAGGAUUAGAUGCCCUGGUAGUCCACAGCCCUAAGAUAUCGCUAGCUGUUGGGGCCUUCGGGCCUUGGUAGCGCAGCUAACGUGAAGUUGACCGCCUGGGGGAGUACGGUCGCAAGAUUAAAACUCAAAGGAAUUGUUGGGGACCCGCACAAGUGCGGUGGAUGAUGUGGAUUAAUUCGAUGCAACGCGAAACCUUACUACCCUUGACAUGUCUGGAAUCCCGAAGAGAUUUGGGAGUGCUCGCAAAGAGAACCGGAACACAGGUGCUGCAUGGCUGUCGUCAGCUCGUGUUGUGAGAUGUUGGGUUAAGUCCCGCAACAGGCGCAACCCUUGUCAUUGGUUACUACGAAAGACAUAAGCCAGGACUACCGGUAAUAAAACCGGAGGAAGGUAUGGGGAUAAGCGUAAGUCCUCAUGGCCCAUAUGGGUAGGGCUUCACACACGUCAUAAUGGUCCGGGACAGAGGGUCGCCAACCCGCGAAGAGGCCAAUCCCAGAAACCCGAUCGUAGUCGGAUCGCAGUCUGCAACUCGACUGCGUGAAGUCGGAAUCGCUAGUAAUCGCGGAUCAGCAUGUCGCGGUAGACCGUUUGCGGGUCUUGCAUACACACCGCCCGUCACACCAUGGGAGUGGGUUUUACCGUGGAUUAGCCUACUGCCAUGGGGGCGAUUACCACAGUAGGAUUCAUGACUGGGUGAAGUCGUAACAAGGUAG
rnacentral:rRNA from 1 species